ACACUCCUGCGGGAGGCAGCAGUGGGGAAUAUUGCACAAUGGGCGCAAGCCUGAUGCAGCCAUGCCGCGUGUAUGAAGAAGGCCUUCGGGUUGUAAAGUACUUUCAGCGGGGAGGAAGGCGAUAAGGUUAAUAACCUUGUCGAUUGACGUUACCCGCAGAAGAAGCACCGGCUAACUCCGUGCCAGCAGCCGCGGUAAUACGGAGGGUGCAAGCGUUAAUCGGAAUUACUGGGCGUAAAGCGCACGCAGGCGGUCUGUCAAGUCGGAUGUGAAAUCCCCGGGCUCAACCUGGGAACUGCAUUCGAAACUGGCAGGCUGGAGUCUUGUAGAGGGGGGUAGAAUUCCAGGUGUAGCGGUGAAAUGCGUAGAGAUCUGGAGGAAUACCGGUGGCGAAGGCGGCCCCCUGGACAAAGACUGACGCUCAGGUGCGAAAGCGUGGGGAGCAAACAGGAUUAGAAACCCGUGUAGUCCCAUG
rnacentral:rRNA from 1 species